rnacentral:rRNA from 1 species
UACGUAGGGUGCGAGCGUUAAUCGGAAUUACUGGGCGUAAAGCGUGCGCAGGCGGCUUUGCAAGACAGAUGUGAAAUCCCCGGGCUCAACCUGGGAACUGCAUUUGUGGCUGCAAGGCUAGAGUACGGCAGAGGGGGAUGGAAUUCCGCGUGUAGCAGUGAAAUGCGUAGAUAUGCGGAGGAACACCAAUGGCGAAGGCAAUCCCCUGGGCAUGUACUGACGCUCAUGCACGAAAGCGUGGGGAGCAAACAGG